CCCAGACUCCUACGGGAGGCAGCAGUGGGGGAUAUUGCACAAUGGGGGGAACCCUGAUGCAGCGACGCCGCGUGGGUGAAGGAGCGUUUCGGCGCGUAAAGCCCUAUCGGCAGGGAAGAAGGAGGACGGUACCUGACUAAGAAGACCCGGCUAACUACGUGCCAGCAGCCGCGGUAAUACGUAGGGGGCAAGCGUUAUCCGGAUUUACUGGGUGUAAAGGGGGCGCAGACGGCAGCGCAAGCCAGGAGUGAAAGCCCGGGGCCCAACCCCGGGACUGCUCUUGGAACUGCGCGGCUGGAGUGCAGGAGGGGCAGGCGGAAUUCCUGGUGUAGCGGUGAAAUGCGUAGAUAUCAGGAGGAACACCGGUGGCGAAGGCGGCCUGCUGGACUGCGACUGACGUUGAGGCCCGAAAGCGUGGGGAGCAAACAGGAUUAGAUACCCUGGUAU
rnacentral:rRNA from 1 species